GAUGAACGCUGGCGGCGUGCCUAAUACAUGCAAGUCGAGCGAACGGACGAGAAGCUUGCUUCUCUGAUGUUAGCGGCGGACGGGUGAGUAACACGUGGAUAACCUACCUAUAAGACUGGGAUAACUUCGGGAAACCGGGGCUAAUACCGGAUAAUAUUUUGAACCGCAUGGUUCAAAAGUGAAAGACGGUCUUGCUGUCACUUAUAGAUGGAUCCGCGCUGCAUUAGCUAGUUGGUAAGGUAACGGCUUACCAAGGCAACGAUGCAUAGCCGACCUGAGAGGGUGAUCGGCCACACUAGAACUGAGCCACGGUCCAGACUCCUACGGGAGGCAGCAGUAGGGAAUCUUCCGCAAUGGGCGAAAGCCUGACGGAGCAACGCCGCGUGAGUGAUGAAGGUCUUCGGAUCGUAAAGCUCUGUUAUUAGGGAAGAACAUAUGUGUAAGUAACUGUGCACAUCUUGACGGUACCUAAUCAGAAAGCCACGGCUAACUACGUG
rnacentral:rRNA from 1 species